rnacentral:rRNA from 1 species
UGCGAACUCCUACGGGAGGCAGCAGUGGGGAAUAUUGGACAAUGGGGGCAACCCUGAUCCAGCAAUUCUGUGUGCACGAAGACGGUUUUCGGAUUGUAAAGUGCUUUCAGCAGGGAAGAAGUAAGUGACGGUACCUGCAGAAGAAGCGACGGCUAAAUACGUGCCAGCAGCCGCGGUAAUACGUAUGUCGCGAGCGUUAUCCGGAAUUAUUGGGCAUAAAGGGCAUCUAGGCGGCCUUUCAAGUCAGGGGUGAAAACCUGCGGCUCAACCGCAGGCCUGCCUUUGAAACUGACAGGCUGGAGUACCGGAGAGGUGGACGGAACUGCACGAGUAGAGGUGAAAUUCGUAGAUAUGUGCAGGAAUGCCGAUGAUGAAGAUAGUUCACUGGACGGUAACUGACGCUGAAGUGCGAAAGCCGGGGGAGCGAACAGGAUUAGAUACCCCGGUAGUCCU